UCCAAGCAUCUUCUGUUUCAGCUGGAACUUUUCUUAACUUGGAGAGGAGCAGGCAGUUAACAUGGGGAAUGUGAAAGAAAUGCCACCAGCCAACUGGUCAUGGGUAAAAGGUUUCUGGGCAUGAUAAGAAACAGCAGCAGCUGCAUUUGGGAGACUGCCUGGGUGGAGAACUCUUUAGAGACCAACCUGGGGAUACAUCUCUGUAGAAACAAAUGGCCCUGCUGCCAUUGCUUUGGGAACUGAUGUGACAACUCGCAGUGCUGGUGGCCCAUUGGCCACAAGACCCGGGAUCUUUCACACUCCAAAACAGAGCGCUUCCUUUCCCCAUUGCAGAAGAUGGAUUCCACACAGAGCCUGCUGCAUUGUUUCCCUUCUUUCUUCAGAGAUUAUGUUUCAAGAUGCUGCAAUUAAAGACUUGGACAGAGGAUGGGGACAUGAGUAAUGGUGGCACCCCAUAUUAGCACAGCACUUCAUUCAUCACCACUGAAGGGCAAAUGCAAAACCCUUGAAACAUCUCUGGAAAAGGAAAGGGAGACGAAGUACAAGCUCCUGGGAAGUGUGAUUUACCACUCAGCCAGGAUGUGAGAGUCUCCAUGUUAGAACCGGCCACAUCUUGAAAAACUUUAACACAUGUAAUGACAUUUAUAAUGUGAAUGUUAUGUAGGACUGAUUAUUCACACGAUUGGUAUGUGGAUCUUUCCCAGGCAGGUAUUUGACUUCAUAUAUAUACGCUCCCUGUUUCUCGAGAAACUCUACACCACUUACAUUGAGUAGGAAGGAGAA